GCCGGAGUGGUGGAAUGGCAGACGCGCCGGACUCAAAAUCCGGUAGGGGUAACCCUGUGGGGGUUCAAGUCCCCCCUCCGGCACCA
rnacentral:tRNA from 2 species